GUUACUUUCGUGUACACUAUACUUGUUUCAUCUGUUCAUCUCGCUAGAUUGGUUUAUCUGCUUGCCUGUCGAAAAGUUAAGUUCAUGGCGAUGUUCCGAUUCCUAGAAACGGGGAGAUGGAAGAUCUACAAUGGCUUUGGUCUGGAAUUGAUUCGCAGACUAUAGAAGUGCUGUCUGUGGCAUGCAUUAUAACGGUUUUAAGUGUUGCGUGUGCUGCGGUCAUCGAAGAGAACAAUCUAACCGGUAACCUUUUCUAUAAUUGAUUUCAAUGUAACAAUAAAGUGGAAUAAAUUUUGAGAGCUUGAGUGAAACUAUGUCCAGGUUAGUUAGUUAUUUUAUCCUGAGUUUCCCUUUUUUUGGGGAGUGAUUAUAUCGCUGUACAUUAGUUCUAACUGUAUUUUUUUGCAUAAAAUUUGCAGAAUGAGACUUCUAAUGACGCUAAGAAGCGAAAUCUGUUGUUACAUCGACAUCUAGAUAAGCUAUUAGAUCCUGAGCAGGGCAGGAAGCGUGAGUAUACUAAUUCCAAAACCGGGUUGUCAAGAUAAAAUUAAUAAAAUGAAGAUGAAAGUAAAGUAAAGAUCUUCAAAUAAAACUGUGGGGAAAAAAUGUUUGCCUAAGAAUGUAUAUAGCUUUACAUUUGCGAGUCACAAAU